rnacentral:rRNA from 1 species
CUAGAUACAAGCGAGCGGCGGACGGGGUGAGUAACACGGUGGGUAACCUGACCCCAAGAGACUGGGAUAACACCUGGAAAACAGAUGCUAAUACCGGAUAACAACACUAGACGCAUGUCUAGAGUUUUGAAAAGAUUAGGGUUCUGCUAUCACUCUUGGAUGGACCUGCGGUGCAUUAGCUAGUUGGUAAGGUAACGGCUUACCAAGGCAAUGAUGCAUAGCCGAGUUUGAGAGACUGAUCGGCCACAUUGGGACUGAGACACGGCCCAAACUCCUACGGGAGGCAGCAGUAGGGAAUCUUCCACAAUGGACGAAAGUCUGAUGGAGCAACGCCGCGUGAGUGAAGAAGGGUUUCGGCUCGUAAAGCUCUGUUGGUAGUGAAGAAAGAUAGAGGUAGUAACUGGCCUUUAUUUGACGGUAAUUACUUAGAAAGUCACGGCUAACUACGUGCC